rnacentral:tRNA from 1 species
GCCUGGGUGGCUCAGCGGUUGAGCGUCUGCCUUCAGUUCAGGGCGUGAUCCCGGUCUGGGGAUCAAGUCCCACAUCCAGGCU